rnacentral:rRNA from 1 species
ACUCGCCUAACGAGUGGGCGUCGGCGGAAAACUACAGGACUUGGGACCGGAAGACUUGAGGGGUACGUCUGGGGUAGGAGUGAAAUCCUGUAAUCCUGGACGGACCGCCGAUAGCGAAAGCACCUCAAGACGACGGAUCCGACAGUGAGGGACGAAAGCUAGGGUCUCGAACCGGAUUAGAUACCCGGGUAGUCCUAGCU